CGUGUAACAUCACAAUAAAUAGAUAAAUUGCAUCAGUUUCACAAGGCACGUUUCUGGUGUGUUAAGCUUGUUUCAAACGUCACGCUACUCGUGUGCCGAACGUAUUAAAAGCAAUAAAUAAUGAGAUGAAAUGCCUUUAGUAACUGUUUAUUUCGUAGUGUAAGCCAUCAGCUUUUCUAGGUUGUCAGCGACUGUAUAUACUUCUUGCAGUGUCUUUUUCAAUUUGAAACUUCACACUAACCUUGGACCCCUAGUUGUUUUAGCCUGCUUAAAUCGGAAUUUGAAAUUUUUCCAUGUAAUUUUGAUUUUUUCUACCUAGAUAUCAAAGUGUCAAAGUUGUGAGUCUGCUGCAGUUUAUCGUUGUUUAACAUGUGAAAUGUUCAUGUGUGAGAAUUGUUGUAAUUGGCAUAACAAGUGGCCAGGGAACAAGAAACAUACUGUGUUGUCUGUAGACGAGUUGAACAGUCCUGAAGGUCAAGCCAAGAUGAAAAGCAAAUUUUAUUGUAAGAAACAUCCAGAUAAAACACUCAAGUUUUAUUGUGAAACAUGCAAGGUAAGAUCAUACUGAUGAGUUAAGCUCUACUGAAGGACGAGUUUUUAUCAUAGAAAUAAUAGAUAUAGAAUGCAUACUCCUAUCUUUUCUCAGAAAAAAAUUAUCUCCACAAAAGGCGGAUUUAUAAGGGCAUUUUGGUUGGUCCCAGACUCCUGAGGC